rnacentral:tRNA from 2 species
GGUAAGAUGGCUGAGUGCCUAAGCGUUAGGCUGUAGUCCUUUUUACAGGGGUUUAAUUCCCCUUCUUAUC